UUGAGUCCUUACCUUCCCGGUAUUUCAUUAAUUUGACUUCAAGCUCCAUUCUGCUCCCAGGGAGGUUAGUCUUGGUUUUUGACUGCAUUUCUUGGUUCUCAUCGAUAAGUAGGUUGCAAGAAGCAGAAUUACACAGACAUAUAAGAGCUAAAUUACUAUCCAGGAUGAGCCAGGCAGAGUGCAGAAAGACAGGCUGAUCAGAGGAACCCAACGCCAGGCCACUGUGGUUGGAAGCAUUGCAUAGAGAUGUGAAGAUGGCUUAAUGAGAAUGAAUGGGUCCAGAUAACGAACUCAGCUCAUACCACCCAUGAGCAGCCAAGGAGGAUGAGAUCAUCUGUGGAACCUAGUGUGUUGUGUUGCUGGGUUUUCACGCAGGUUUCCCUGUCUCCGAACUGCACCUUCAAGACAGGAUGGGGCUGUCGAGGGAGAGGAAACUGAGUCAGAAAAGAAAAAGUCAUAUGCCACAGCUCUGCUGUAUGUUUGCUGUGGGUCUUAAGGAAGUGAUUUGCCUGUACUCCAAUGGGAAGAGGAGGGCUGAACUGGCAGGGCUUGCUCAAGGCACGGCGGCUGGUGUGGCUGCAUAGAAGACAUCAGUCCUUCCUAGCCAUCCUCGGGUGUCCAGAUCUAGUGUUUGUGCUAUUUAUGUCUCACCCCACAUCUCUGUAGCGCUCCUGGGGAGCUAGAGGAACAAAAAUUUCUGCUUUACUGAGAAUUCUCCUAUUAUUUUUCUCUCUGGAGAAGCCUGUCCUCCUUUGAUCUGAGAUUGACAAUCAGGCUAUUCUGAGAAGGACUAAUUACAGAACACAUCCGCUCCUUCCAGACUCUGACACUGCCUGGCUGCAGGAGGAUGGAGCUCAGUCCUGUUGCCUUUGGAGACACUCUUCCUGGUUUCUAAAAUGGAGCUAGCCAUGCCUCUGCCUGCGGGCUAGGAUUCCUGAGGACUGGAAGCAUUUUCUGCUGGGCAAGGUUCACUGAGCAGUAACCCUUGGUCUGGACAGCCUGAGAGCACUUCUCAGCCCUGUAACCCAAACAAGCAAGGGUGUGUUGGAUCUGCGGGACCUCUGAAUGUCCUUCAGGACACAUUGGAAACCAAAGAAGCUGGAUGCUGAUGGCAGCAGUGGAGGCUGGCACACCAAGGAGCGAAAAGUGAGGCAAGGAAGCAAGCUUGAGUUUUCCUCAGACCACCUCAUCUCUGGGCUGCCUGCCAGAAGAGGCUGCCCUUUCUGGGAGAGGGUCUUCUUCCCUCGGUUGACCUUGAGAUGCCUUUGCAGCACCACCCAAAGGCAGGACCACAUAUCCAGGAAUCACAUUGACUACAGUGAGCUGGACCCUCCAAGGUCAGUUCGCAAACAAGAAAAUGCCCUCCAGGGACAUGCUCACAGACUAGGCUGAUGGAGGCCAUUCCUCAAUUGAGGUUCCUUCAUCCCAGGUUGGACAUGUCAGAGGGCUUAUCAUUGAGAUACUAUGGGCCUUCUGACUAGGCACCAGGGACUCUGUAUCCGUUGCACCAAGCUGGGAGGAGUUUCCUUAAUGAGAGAGGUGUACAAGAGAAUUAGAAGAGUAACCAGUGUGCAGCGUGGCCUCUCAGCAUCUUCCACUGUGACCUUGGCCAUGACCCUUCUGCUGCCCUGCUGUAAACUUUUCCACCUCCCAAAGGAAGCAGUUGACAUUUGAGUUCUGGCUUCAGUGUUGAAGAGUUUAUGAAUGGGGACCCCGCAAUAAGACAGACUAUUGUGAACUGAUGACAUUCCCCACAGACACAACGAGGAAAAGAAAUGUGGUCCCUGGAGAAUUAUCGAGCUAUGCAAAUGCUCUGUAAAUAUGAGACAUGGCAUCGAUUUUUCGGAAUGUCAGAAGCUGUAAAGUAAAUCUCA